rnacentral:rRNA from 1 species
AGAAUCAACGCUGGCGGCGUGCCUAACACAUGCAAGUCGAACGAGAAAGUGGUAGCAAUACCAUGAGUAAAGUGGCGCACGGGUGAGUAACACGUGACUAACCUACCCUGGAGUGGGGAGUAACUGAGGGAAACCUUAGCUAAUACCGCAUAACACCUACGGGUCAAAGGAGCAAUUCGCUUUAGGAGGGGUCGGCGGCAGAUUAGCUAGUUGGCGGGGUAAUGGCCCACCAAGGCAGUGAUCUGUA